GUCAUCAACUGGGGUGAAUUAAUUAAGGAAAACCGUUUACUAUUUAAGAACCAAACAGAGCAAAACGACAGAUUAUGUAAAACAAAUCCAGGUAGGUCCCUCCCCGUUUCAUUUGCUUCCGUUUAAGAAACGUUUUGCAACAUAAUUGGCAGAAUUAAUAACCCUACCGUGUCUGUUGAAUUCAACGUUGCCCACCGUUCUGUCAUACUGAACACACCCCUGGUCAACUGCUGUGCUUCCAGGCAGUUUUCAGACCAUUGGUGGGAGAUGCUCAAGAGCUCACACCGGUGACAGUAUCCGGGUUUUUACAAAUCACUAUCGGAGUGUUUGUGUAGCCGACCAUGGCUGUUGUUAUGGAGCAUCCAUUUUUAACAGCUUCCAGCCGAUAAACAAGUGGAAACUAGAUCUUUCUUGAAGUCGGUGUCAUAUCUUCUGCCAUUCUUUGACUGCCUUGGCUCUAUUGUUUUUGCUCGAGUUAAAUCUGACAUUGCAGGGAGCAUCACAGUAAGUAGCCUACAUCAACCUUUUCACAUGGUUAAAGUGCAAAUGGGUCAACUUGGAGCCAUAAAGAAACAAACAACUAUAUUACUGAACUAUCCCUGUUUUAGAAAAUCAAGGUGGUUUAUGACAGCAACCUAGCAGGUUCAAGACCUGCCAAAAAAUCCUGGAGGUAGAGAAUGAGCUGUAUGGAGCAGGCUGGCCCAAAAUGGGAGCCACCCUGGCACUAAUGUGGCUGAAGAGGCAGCUGUGUUCGCAGCCCCCUACAAGGCAGAUUUCCUGAGGGCACUGUCCAAGAGGUCAAGGAAAAGGACUGCCGGGACAAAAUACGACUUUCUAGUGAACUUCACUGCCACUGAUGCCAUCUAUGAGAUGUACACCAAGAUGAAUGCCGAGAUCUAAUUCCAUUGGUACAUCAACAUGAUUGUAUUUGAUAAAAGAUGCCUUAUUAUUGAUGUAAUCAUACAAAUGUCAUCUCACCUAAUCAUCAUUUAGGAAGUCAAAACCAAAUCUCUCGCGGAAACAGUCAUAUCACAGGAGACUAAUAUUUGUAUAGUCAAAGCAGCGGCAGGAGUAAACUGUCAAGUCGGGAUGAUUUGUUUUAAAAGAUUGAAAAGUUUCAAGCUUCAAAUAAGUGAGUCUUUAAAGUGUUCUAAAAAAUGUGUUGGAAAGGAAAUGUUUUAUAACCUUUACAUGUUAAGUGACAUUGAAAUCAAUCCACCAAAUGGUGACAUUUCAUUUUAGGCUGUUUCAUAAAUAUGAUUGAAUUACAUUGUGAUGCAGUGUUGAUUAUGAUAAAUAAACCAGAUUUAUUUUGUGUAAUUAUAGUGGCUGAAUCAAGCCAUGUGAGUAUAGAGCGAUGCCACUAAUAUUGUUAACCUAACAGUGCCUUCUGCCAUUGACACAGGGGAGAGGGUGAACUCUCACUAGCUUUGUCUUUGUCCAACAGUGCAACUUUACAUGAUGCCUGCCUCUUGAGUUGAAUUUUUGAUUUUCAUAAGGCACUUUUUGCUCUUGCGAAACAUAUUACGGUGUACCCUAAUGAACACACCCCUGUGAUAUAUUGUAGAGGGUUUAUCUUGAGAACCAUAAUGGAGCAUGUCUUUCCUUGGUAUUUCUCAGUUUUACUUCUGAUUGACUUUCUAAUACUGAUUUGGGUGCCUCCAGAUGUCCUUUCCUUGCCCUUUUGGAAUUCCUAUUUGUUUGGUGGCCUAUAUGUCAAAACAUGUAAUGAAAACACUAUGGCAUUAUAGUAAAUGGAUAGCAUUAUAGUAAAAUUAAAUUCACUGAAAAUGUAUUGUUUGUCAGUGAUUCGUUUCCAUUUUCUGGUUAUGCAUUUUUAGGUAUCACUUGAUUGUUAUGAGAAAUGUGUAUGAAAAGGAUUCAAAUGCAGGGCAUAAAUUAUGCACGAUAUUAUACAUUAUUUUAAUCUUAUAUUGCAAAUGAAUAUUUUUACAAAAUAUUACCAGUUCAUAAUUUUAUAUUGAAUUGUGUCACCCCCCUAUUCACAUCGAAAGGACAGCAGUGGAGAAGGUGGAAAGUUAAGGUCCUUGGCGUACACAUCACAGACACUGAAAUGGUCCACCCACACAGACAGUGUAGUGAAGAAGGUGCAACAGUGCCUCUUCAACCUCAGGAGGCUGAAGAAAUAUGGCCUGUCACCCAAACCUCUGACAAACUUUACAGAUGCACAAUCGAGAGCAUCCUGUCAGGCUGUAUCACAGCCUGGUAUGGCAACUGCAUCGACCUCAACCGCAAGGCUCUCCAGAGGGUGGUGUGGUCUGCACAACUCAU